CCUACGGGUGGCUGCAGUGAGGAAUAUUGGUCAAUGGGCGAGAGCCUGAACCAGCCAAGUCGCGUGAGGGAGUACUGCCCUAUGGGUUGUAAACCUCUUUUGUCGGGGAGCAAAAGCCGGACGUUUCCGGCUGUUAUAUUACCCCAACAAAAAGCAUCGGCAAACUCCGUUCCAGUAGCCGCGGUAAUACGGAGGAUGCGAGCGUUAUCCGGAUUUUUUGGGUUUAAGGGGCGCGCUGGCGGAUUUUUACGUCAGCGGUAAAAUCGUGGGGCUCAACCCCAUCCCGCCGUUGAAACUGGGGAUCUAGAGGGUGCGAGAGGUAUGCGGAAUGCGUGGUGUAGCGGUGAAAUGCAUAGAUAUCACGCAGAACCCCGAUUGCGAAGGCAGCAUACCGGUGCACAACUGACGCUCAGGCACGAAAGCGUGGGUAUCGAACAGGAUUAGAUACCCGAGUAGUC
rnacentral:rRNA from 1 species